UACGUAGGGGGCUAGCGUUGUCCGGAAUCAUUGGGCGUAAAGAGCGUGUAGGCGGUUAGGUAGGUCCGUUGUGAAAACUCGAGGCUCAACCUCGAGACGCCGAUGGAAACCAUCUGACUAGAGUCCGGAAGAGGAGAGUGGAAUUCCUGGUGUAGCGGUGAAAUGCGCAGAUAUCAGGAAGAACACCCGUGGCUAAGGCGGCUCUCUAGUACGGUACUGACGCUGAGACGCGAAAGCGUGGGGAGCGAACAGG
rnacentral:rRNA from 1 species